rnacentral:rRNA from 1 species
AGAGUUUGAUCCUGGCUCGAGACGAACGCUGGCGGCGUGCUUAACACAUGCAAGUCGAACGGAGUGAAGCCCUUCGGGGCUGAGCUUAGUGGCGGACGGGUGGAGUAACACGUGAGCAACCUGCCCAUUACAGGGGGAUAGCAGCUGGAAACGGCUGGUAAUACCGCAUAAGACCACAGUACCGCAUGGUACCGGGGUAAAAGGAGAGAUCCGGUAAUGGAUGGGGCUCGCGUCCCAUUAGGUAGUUGGUGAGAUAACAGCCCACCAAGCCGACGAUGGGUAACCGACUUGAGAGAGUGAUCGGUCACAUUGGAACUGAGAAACGGUCCAAACUCCUACGGGAGGCAGCAGUGGGGGAAUAUUGGGCAAUGGGGGAAACCCUGACCCAGCAACGCCGCGUGAGGGAAGAAGGCCUUCGGGUUGUAAACCUCUGUCCUCGGGGACGAAACAAAUGACGGUACCCGGGGAGGAAGCCCCGGCUAACUACGUGCC